rnacentral:rRNA from 1 species
GACGAACGCUGGCGGCGUGCCUAAUACAUGCAAGUUGAGCGAUGAAGCUUGGUGCUUGCACCAAUUUGAAGAGCAGCGAACGGGUGAGUAACGCGUGGGGAAUCUGCCUUUGAGCGGGGGACAACAUUUGGAAACGAAUGCUAAUACCGCAUAACAACUUUAAACAUAAGUUUUAAGUUUGAAAGAUGCAAUUGCAUCACUCAAAGAUGAUCCCGCGUUGUAUUAGCUAGUUGGUGAGGUAAAGGCUCACCAAGGCGAUGAUACAUAGCCGACCUGAGAGGGUGAGCGGCCAAAUGGGGACUGAGACACGGCCCAAACUCCUACGGGAGGCAGCAGUAGGGAAUCUUCGGCAAUGGACGAAAGUCUGACCGAGCAACGCCGCGGGAGUGAAGAAGGGUGUCGGAUCGGAAAACUCUGUUGGUAGAGAAGAACGUUGGUGAGAGUGGAAAGCUCAUCAAGUGACGGUAACUACCCAGAAAGGGACGGCUAACUACGUG